UAAUAAUCUGUGUCUAUGAGGUCAGUGCCGAAUGCACCAGAGCAAAGGAGUUAGGACCUGGGCAGCUGCUGUUCUGGGAGAAGAGCCUUUGGAGGGCCUGUGGAUAUGAAUAUGGCUAUGGAUGUCAGCUGUUGUUAUGGAAUUAAAAUUGGUGGUGGUGAGAAAACAAACAAAAGCGCAAGACGGCGGCAGACCAGAAACGAGCUUGGCAACGUAUCGGCUUGGAGUUUAAACAGGAUUAAUAUGCUGCAAAAUAGAAAUUGCUGAAUGAAUUAGUAAAUAUCUGA